rnacentral:rRNA from 1 species
CCUACGGGCGGCAGCAGUGGGGAAUAGUGGACAAUGGGGGGAACCCUGAUCCAGCCAUGCCGCGUGUGUGAAGAAGGCCCUCGGGUUGUAAAGCACUUUCAGUGAGGAAGAACGCCUGGUGGUUAAUACCCAUCAGGAAAGACAUCACUCACAGAAGAAGCACCGGCUAACUCCGUGCCAGCAGCCGCGGUAAUACGGAGGGUGCGAGCGUUAAUCGGAAUUACUGGGCGUAAAGCGCGCGUAGGUGGCUUGAUAAGCCGGUUGUGAAAGCCCCGGGCUCAACCUGGGAACGGCAUCCGGAACUGUCAAGCUAGAGUGCAGGAGAGGAACGUAGAAUUCCAGGUGUAGCGGUGAAAUGCGUAGAGAUAGGGAGGAAUACCAGUGGCGAAGGCGGCCUUCUGGACUGCCACUGACGCUGAGGUGCGAAAGCGUGGGUAGCAAACAGGAUUAGAUACCCCAGUAGUC